AUGAUACUUUGCAAAAUGCCUUUUCAUCCUUUAAGAACUGGUACUUAUGUAUUAUUUUAUUGCCAUAGGCUGCCUCUAGCAAUUAAGCAAGCAAGAUGGAUACUUUUCAGGCAUCAUAGGAAGAUACUUUGUUGGUCUGUAGUGUCAAAAAAAAGCCAAAUGGAGUCCUUCAGUGAAGAUUUUCCAGGAGUUAGCAUAGAAUGGACUUUAAAAAAGGUUAUUAAAGUUUGCAAAAAAGCUUAAAAAAACAAGGGCUAUUUAUACUGUAUAAAUAUAAAAAGUAAGAAAAGAAGAAGAAAAGAGGAAAUAUGUGUUAAAAGCAGAAAAAUGAGAGAAGAUAUAUGAAAGAUGACUUUUCUUCCAGUCACAUAUAAACAAUUUGGCUAACCACACCUUAUCUAAUAGUUAAGUAAAAGAAAAAAAAUCUUUUUUCCCCUCAAUAAUCCCUCAUCAAUAAUCAAAUUACAAAAAAACGUAUCAAUCAAUUUGUCAUACAUUUGAAUCUUAUUCCAAAAAAUUCAAUUUUAUAAUCCAAGCUUGUCAUUUUCUCUAAGAAAUAAUGCAAAAGAAAUCUCUUUCCAUUUGUAUACAAGUGCAAUAAGGCAUCAUCAUACAAUCCUGUAAUAAACUGAUUGACUGAAUCCUGGUGAAAAAGGAAUCCCAUUAAUAGCUACCAGAAACUGUAACGUAUAUAUUUUUAACCUUUAUCUAACAGAAUUACUUUAUAAAUCUUUUCAUUUUUAAAAAGCUUGGUAUUGAUCCCAUCUAGUUAGGUCACAGAAACUGAUUUCUUACCAGUUUCUCUUUUGUCUUUUUCCUGGAACAGUUUGAGCAAUUUGUCUCUUGUCAGAAUUUUCUUGGUUCUCCACAUUCCUCUUGUAAAUCCAUAGUAAGAAGGCUUUCUAAGUCACUCUUCUGAUUGUUAUUAUAUGUCCCUAUUAAUUAUCAAAACACAAACUGGUUUCAUUUGUAAAUCCAUUUUGAUGUCAUUUUCCCUAUUACUCAAAUCCUGGUAUUUUUAAAAUCGUCUAGAUGGUU
rnacentral:lncRNA from 1 species